UACGGAGGGUGCGAGCGUUGUCCGGAAUCAUUGGGCGUAAAGCGCGUGUAGGCGGCCCGGUAAGUCCGCUGUGAAAGUCGGGGGCUCAACCCUCGAAAGCCGGUGGAUACUGUCGGGCUCGAGUGCGGAAGAGGCGAGUGGAAUUCCUGGUGUAGCGGUGAAAUGCGCAGAUAUCAGGAGGAACACCGAUUGCGAAGGCAGCUCGCUGGGACGUUACUGACGCUGAGACGCGAAAGCGUGGGGAGCAAACAGG
rnacentral:rRNA from 1 species